CCCCGGGCUCAACCUGGGAACUGCAUUCGAAACUGGCAGGCUAGAGUCUUGUAGAGGGGGGUAGAAUUCCAGGUGUAGCGGUGAAAUGCGUAGAGAUCUGGAGGAAUACCGGUGGCGAAGGCGGCCCCCUGGACAAAGACUGACGCUCAGGUGCGAAAGCGUGGGGAGCAAACAGGAUUAGAUACCCUGGUAGUCCACGCCGUAAACGAUGUCGAUUUGGAGGUUGUGCCCUUGAGGCGUGGCUUCCGGAGCUAACGCGUUAAAUCGACCGCCUGGGGAGUACGGCCGCAAGGUUAAAACUCAAAUGAAUUGACGGGGGCCCGCACAAGCGGUGGAGCAUGUGGUUUAAUUCGAUGCAACGCGAAGAACCUUACCUGGUCUUGACAUCCACAGAACUUUCCAGAGAUGGAUUGGUGCCUUCGGGAACUGUGAGACAGGUGCUGCAUGGCUGUCGUCAGCUCGUGUUGUGAAAUGUUGGGUUAAGUCCCGCAACGAGCGCAACCCUUAUCCUUUGUUGCCAGCGGUCCGGCCGGGAACUCAAAGGAGACUGCCAGUGAUAAACUGGAGGAAGGUGGGGAUGACGUCAAGUCAUCAUGGCCCUUACGACCAGGGCUACACACGUGCUACAAUGGCAUAUACAAAGAGAAGCGACCUCGCGAGAGCAAGCGGACCUCAUAAAGUAUGUCGUAGUCCGGAUUGGAGUCUGCAACUCGACUCCAUGAAGUCGGAAUCGCUAGUAAUCGUAGAUCAGAAUGCUACGGUGAAUACGUUCCCGGGCCUUGUACACACCGCCCGUCACACCAUGGGAGUGGGUUGCAAAAGAAGUAGGUAGCUUAACCUUCGGGAGGGCGCUUACCACUUUGUGAUUCAUGACUGGGGUGAAGUCGUAACAAGGUAACCGUAGGGGAACCUGCGGUUGGAUCACCUCCUU
rnacentral:rRNA from 1 species